ACAUUAAUUUUCAUUGUUUUCUAGCAAAAGCUCAUCAGAAUAUGAUACAGGACUAUGGAGUUGCAAAAAAGGUGUAUCCUUAAAUAGGUUUUUUAAAGG